AAUUCCUCCAUUCCCUCCCAUCUUACCUUACCAUAACAAAAAGUUCCUUCUCUCUUUCACUCUCACUCUCACUUUUUUCUGUGCUUCUCUUUCUCUCUCCUUUCACGCUCCUCGAAUAGUAUAGAGAGGAAAAAAGGGUCUCAAAGAUGAAACCAAAAGACGGGUUUGUUGCUGAAGGUCCCUAUAAGAGGUUUCUCAUCAUGCACGUGACUAGCAGCAAGGAGGCCAUGGUCAACUCUCUGAGAAUUGGGAGGUGUGACCAAAAAAAAGCCAUUAGUGGCUCUGAAAUUGGAGCUGACAAUUCUCCUGGAUUGGUGGCAGCAGCAGCAGGAGCUUCACUUUAAUCUGGUGCUAUCCUAUCUGAGCUUUUUACUUCCUUCUCUCAUCUUUUUUCAUCAUCUAGUUUUUAUCACACUUUUUUUUUUCUAGGACUUUUCUUGACCUUGUAAGACCUUUUCUUGACCUUGUAAGACCUCACACCUUACCUAUUUUCUUUGUUUCUGUUUACGAGAAAAACCCUAUAUCACAAUCCACUGAUAUAGAGUUUGAUCUCCUUCUUUCCCCGUUGCCACCCAACUCAUCCUCUCCUUCCUUGUCUAUCCCUCCUGAGCUGUUACAGUUUUUGCCUACCAAGAUGAAACAACUAAUAUGCCAUGGCUUCAAAGAAAAUGACUAAGGAUCUUAGCUUACUUUAGAACCUCGCUCAAUGAGGGUUCUUCAAAUCUGGUAGCUAUUCGGAGACCAUGGCUUCCAGAUUUACAAUCGGGGUAUAAUUUAUUUUGUAGUUCUUUUACCUCUGAGAAAUCAAUGUAGCUUGCAGUUUAGUCAGCUGCUAGUAUACUUGAUCGUGGUCCUUAAGGUUGGUCGUGGUCCUUAAGGUUGGUCGUGGUCCCUAUCUUGUUGAUUUGCUUUCUUCUUUUAUGCAAAACAAAUGAGAUAAAUGCCAUGAAUAAGCUCAAUUUGGCACUACAUGUGUCCUAGGCUACUAGAGCCUCAUCUCUCCAUCCAUUACAUAGAACUGAAAGGCAUUAAAGUCACACACUCUCUCCAAUUGAAUUACAUCAAGUAAGAAGAAUGGACCACCCUUCUCUUGCUUAGUACUAGUCUUUCUUUCUCUCUUUUUUUCUAGUGUAAUUUAAAAUGCAAAUAUUCAAUUUUCUGUUAGUCCAGCAAGUGUGAAAGUAUGAUAACCUUGGUAGCAAGUGAGAUGACAGCAAAUUUGACGCUGAAAACGCAAUUUCCCUUUGGCUUUCUUGAUUUGGAUGGGUGCUUCAGCCAUUCCUUUCACACGGCAGGGGGAAGGACAAGCACUUUGGGAUAGAAUACAACCUGAGCCCAUAAGGAAUAUCACACACCCCAAUGUUUUUGAUGGGGCUGCCACACACCUACCACCCUCAAAUAAUGAAGAAUAAUACCUCUCAAAUUACCACUUUCUCCUUCACUAAAAUAUCAAAGAUGUCGGCAACACAAAGAAACAAGAGGGUAGGGUGGAAUUUAUCUGUUUUUAACCAUAUUCCAUUUCAGAUGCCUAACAUAUUGUUUCCUUCAAUCAUCGGCGCGUGGUAGACCAACCUAAUAGCGUAUAGACAAAUAUUUGUUCUCUGUACAAAUAAUGUAUGUAGUAUAUUCAAAAACGGAUGCAUAAAAUUUUGUGUAUUGACACGAUUUGUGUGAUGGUUAUGCAAGUCUAGGGAAAGAAAGAAAUUGUGACACAUCAACUACAGAAACCUUUUGCCUACAAAUUCAAUUCAACUGCAUACCUUGACUUUGAUAAUCUAUUCUGAUUUUUCAGGUUUUUAA